ACAAGGAGGAAGAGAUAGCAGAGGUCCCUCUCCACGUGUGCACCAAGGGAAGGCCACGUGAAGACACAGUGAGACGGCACCAUCUAUAAGCCAGGAGAGGCCUCACCAGAAACCAAGCCUCAUGGCCCCUAGAUCUCAGAUUUCUACUUGCAGAGCUGGUUCCUGGGCUGCCUCUGGAGUAGCCUUGCCUCCUUCUUGCCAGUCUGGUGGGCUCCUUCUGGUUUAGAAGUGAACCAUUCCUAGUUCUUCUAAGAUUUUUGAAUUUGCAUAUACAUUUAUUCUGGGCACUAAGCUCCUCGUGAGGACCCCAGCCUCAAGACCUCAUCUAAACCUAGUUACCUCCCAAAGGCCUUAUUUCCAAAACUCAUAAUAUUUGGGGGGUUGCUUAUUUUGGAAGAGAAGAAUGAUAAAGGUUAUGAAAUUAGCAACCAGCUUAGCCAUCAAACAGAUAAAUGCAGGACAACCCAGAUGAUGUCAAAAUUAUUGGUGAGAUUUUCGUGGGAAGAACACCUAAUGCUGCAUUGGGCCGAGUGAACCAACUGUCCAUCAAGUCUAAUGGGAGAACAUUUCCCCUAGUUCAGCUGGGCUGAUACAGAAGGCUGUGUCAAGGUUGUAAUGGAAGUAAGUGGUGGUGCUGGGACUCUAGAACACAUCCUCUGACUCUAUGUAACAUCGUCUCCCUAUCCAUGCAACAGAGGAGUGGGAAGAAUCUGGCAGUGACAGCCAAAGUAAGAUGAGUGUGAGAAGAAGAAGGAAGAAGGGAAAAUGAGGAAGUAGAAGAACAGAUCACCAGAGAUGGGAAUCUAAAGAACUGAAUGCUAUGAAGUGUCAAAGCCUUUCCUAUUGUCUGGGGAGCAAUGAAAUAGGCAAAAGAAAUAACCACUCUGGGUUAAAGACACCAAAAUCACAGGGGAAAAAAAAAGUUUAAAUCUUAGUUAUACUGAAAAUAUCUUCUUGAUUUCUUAAUUUUUAACUACAGAAGAUGCGGUGGUCUCUUUUUAAUAAUAGACUACUAUAUCCAAUUCUCAUUAGAUACUUCUUGUACUUGUAAUUACUUUUGAACAUGUUUUACUAGAUUAUAACCUGUGGAGGGCAGGGUCUGUGGCUGCAUUAGCAGAACUAAAUACCUUGCUAUAAGUGUUAUUAUUUACUUGUUAAUGUUAAUACUCACUGAAAACAUAUACACACACUUCUGUGCAUGGCCAAUCCCAUUAUAGUCAUUUUGAUCUCUCAAGAAUGGCUUUCUUUUGGGGCACCUGGGUGGCUCAGUGGGUUAAAGCCUCUGGCUUCUGCUCCAGUCAUGAUCCCAGAUUCCUGCGACAAAGCCCUGCAUCAGGCUCUCUGCUCAGCAGGGAGCGUGCUUCCCC